UACAGAGGGGGCAAGCGUUAAUCGGAAUUACUGGGCGUAAAGCGUGCGCAGGCGGUUCGUUGUGUCGGCGGUGAAAGCCCCGGGCUCAACCUGGGAAUGGCCGUUGAAACUGGCGAACUGGAGUGUGGCAGAGGGGGGUGGAAUUCCGCGUGUAGCAGUGAAAUGCGUAGAGAUGCGGAGGAACACCGAUGGCGAAGGCAGCCCCCUGGGCUGACACUGACGCUCAGGCACGAAAGCGUGGGGAGCAAACAGG
rnacentral:rRNA from 1 species